rnacentral:lncRNA from 1 species
CCGGCUUAACAUUGGAAGCCUGCCGAAGUCAUUAGGUAUGGGCCCAGAAAUCUGAUUGUUACGAAUAUCAAGAUGCAUCAGGCUUCUGAGAUUUGUUAGCGACCGUGGAAUGUUACCGGAGAUAGCGUUGUCGGCGAUGUUAAGAACGGUUAACCGUUGAAGUUUUCCGAUGUCGGUGGGGAUAGUUCCGGUGAGGCGGUUUCCGAUGAGGUCAAUGAUACGAAGGAAAGGAAGGGAGGAUAUACAGCGAGGGAUUUCGCCGGAGAUACCUUUCCAAUCGGCGACGGUGAAGCUCGAGAGACGGUUGAGGUGACAGAUUGCUGGUGAGAUGUAACCGGUCAUGUAACCGGUACGGUGGUGUUUUUUUUGGAAGAUUGGAUCUUCUGACUCGCCGCGGAGGUUGAUAUCGGCGACGCGGCGGGAUUCUUUGUCGCAGCUAACGCCGUACCAUUUGUUGCAGCAAUCUGCUCCGGUCCAUGAGGUGAAGAUACCGAGUUUUCCGAGUUGGGGUUCGUGGAGUGCUGCUUUGAACGCUAAUAACGCCGCCCUAUCUGACGGUGGACAUGAAUGGACGGUGGCGGUGAGUGCUAGUAGUAUUGCUGCGACGGAGAUAGUUUGGAAAAACCUAACG